rnacentral:rRNA from 1 species
GGGUUGUGAGGUUAAGCGACUAAGCGUACACGGUGGAUGCCCUGGCAGUCAGAGGCGAUGAAGGACGUGCUAAUCUGCGAUAAGCGUCGGUAAGGUGAUAUGAACCGUUAUAACCGGCGAUUUCCGAAUGGGGAAACCCAGUGUGAUUCGUCACACUAUCAUUAACUGAAUCCAUAGGUUAAUGAGGCGAACCGGGGGAACUGAAACAUCUAAGUACCCCGAGGAAAAGAAAUCAACCGAGAUUCCCCCAGUAGCGGCGAGCGAACGGGGAGCAGCCCAGAGCCUGAAUCAGUGUGUGUGUUAGUGGAAGCGUCUGGAAAGGCGCGCGAUACAGGGUGACAGCCCCGUACACAAAAAUGCACAUGCUGUGAGCUCGAUGAGUAGGGCGGGACACGUGGUAUCCUGUCUGAAUAUGGGGGGACCAUCCUCCAAGGCUAAAUACUCCUGACUGACCGAUAGUGAACCAGUACCGUGAGGGAAAGGCGAAAAGAACCCCGGCGAGGGGAGUGAAAAAGAACCUGAAACCGUGUACGUACAAGCAGUGGGAGCACGCUUAGGCGUGUGACUGCGUACCUUUUGUAUAAUGGGUCAGCGACUUAUAUUCUGUAGCAAGGUUAACCGAAUAGGGGAGCCGAAGGGAAACCGAGUCUUAACUGGGCGUUAAGUUGCAGGGUAUAGACCCGAAACCCGGUGAUCUAGCCAUGGGCAGGUUGAAGGUUGGGUAACACUAACUGGAGGACCGAACCGACUAAUGUUGAAAAAUUAGCGGAUGACUUGUGGCUGGGGGUGAAAGGCCAAUCAAACCGGGAGAUAGCUGGUUCUCCCCGAAAGCUAUUUAGGUAGCGCCUCGUGAAUUCAUCUCCGGGGGUAGAGCACUGUUUCGGCAAGGGGGUCAUCCCGACUUACCAACCCGAUGCAAACUGCGAAUACCGGAGAAUGUUAUCACGGGAGACACACGGCGGGUGCUAACGUCCGUCGUGAAGAGGGAAACAACCCAGACCGCCAGCUAAGGUCCCAAAGUCAUGGUUAAGUGGGAAACGAUGUGGGAAGGCCCAGACAGCCAGGAUGUUGGCUUAGAAGCAGCCAUCAUUUAAAGAAAGCGUAAUAGCUCACUGGUCGAGUCGGCCUGCGCGGAAGAUGUAACGGGGCUAAACCAUGCACCGAAGCUGCGGCAGCGACACUAUGUGUUGUUGGGUAGGGGAGCGUUCUGUAAGCCUGUGAAGGUGUACUGUGAGGUAUGCUGGAGGUAUCAGAAGUGCGAAUGCUGACAUAAGUAACGAUAAAGCGGGUGAAAAGCCCGCUCGCCGGAAGACCAAGGGUUCCUGUCCAACGUUAAUCGGGGCAGGGUGAGUCGACCCCUAAGGCGAGGCCGAAAGGCGUAGUCGAUGGGAAACAGGUUAAUAUUCCUGUACUUGGUGUUACUGCGAAGGGGGGACGGAGAAGGCUAUGUUGGCCGGGCGACGGUUGUCCCGGUUUAAGCGUGUAGGCUGGUUUUCCAGGCAAAUCCGGAAAAUCAAGGCUGAGGCGUGAUGACGAGGCACUACGGUGCUGAAGCAACAAAUGCCCUGCUUCCAGGAAAAGCCUCUAAGCAUCAGGUAACAUCAAAUCGUACCCCAAACCGACACAGGUGGUCAGGUAGAGAAUACCAAGGCGCUUGAGAGAACUCGGGUGAAGGAACUAGGCAAAAUGGUGCCGUAACUUCGGGAGAAGGCACGCUGAUAUGUAGGUGAAGUCCCUCGCGGAUGGAGCUGAAAUCAGUCGAAGAUACCAGCUGGCUGCAACUGUUUAUUAAAAACACAGCACUGUGCAAACACGAAAGUGGACGUAUACGGUGUGACGCCUGCCCGGUGCCGGAAGGUUAAUUGAUGGGGUCAGCGCAAGCGAAGCUCUUGAUCGAAGCCCCGGUAAACGGCGGCCGUAACUAUAACGGUCCUAAGGUAGCGAAAUUCCUUGUCGGGUAAGUUCCGACCUGCACGAAUGGCGUAAUGAUGGCCAGGCUGUCUCCACCCGAGACUCAGUGAAAUUGAACUCGCUGUGAAGAUGCAGUGUACCCGCGGCAAGACGGAAAGACCCCGUGAACCUUUACUAUAGCUUGACACUGAACAUUGAGCCUUGAUGUGUAGGAUAGGUGGGAGGCUUUGAAGUGUGGACGCCAGUCUGCAUGGAGCCGACCUUGAAAUACCACCCUUUAAUGUUUGAUGUUCUAACGUGGACCCGUGAUCCGGGUUGCGGACAGUGUCUGGUGGGUAGUUUGACUGGGGCGGUCUCCUCCUAAAGAGUAACGGAGGAGCACGAAGGUUGGCUAAUCCUGGUCGGACAUCAGGAGGUUAGUGCAAUGGCAUAAGCCAGCUUGACUGCGAGCGUGACGGCGCGAGCAGGUGCGAAAGCAGGUCAUAGUGAUCCGGUGGUUCUGAAUGGAAGGGCCAUCGCUCAACGGAUAAAAGGUACUCCGGGGAUAACAGGCUGAUACCGCCCAAGAGUUCAUAUCGACGGCGGUGUUUGGCACCUCGAUGUCGGCUCAUCACAUCCUGGGGCUGAAGUAGGUCCCAAGGGUAUGGCUGUUCGCCAUUUAAAGUGGUACGCGAGCUGGGUUUAGAACGUCGUGAGACAGUUCGGUCCCUAUCUGCCGUGGGCGCUGGAGAAUUGAGGGGGGCUGCUCCUAGUACGAGAGGACCGGAGUGGACGCAUCACUGGUGUUCGGGUUGUCAUGCCAAUGGCACUGCCCGGUAGCUAAAUGCGGAAGAGAUAAGUGCUGAAAGCAUCUAAGCACGAAACUUGCCCCGAGAUGAGUUCUCCCUGACUCCUUGAGAGUCCUGAAGGAACGUUGAAGACGACGACGUUGAUAGGCCGGGUGUGUAAGCGCAGCGAUGCGUUGAGCUAACCGGUACUAAUGAACCGUGAGGCUUAACCUUACAACGCCGAAGGUGUUU